rnacentral:rRNA from 1 species
GAUGAACGCUGGCGGCGUGCCUAAUACAUGCAAGUCGAGCGAACGGACGAGAAGCUUGCUUCUCUGAUGUUAGCGGCGGACGGGUGAGUAACACGUGGAUAACCUACCUAUAAGACUGGGAUAACUUCGGGAAACCGGAGCUAAUACCGGAUGAUAUUUUGAACCGCAUGGUUCAAAAGUGAAAGACGGUCUUGCUGUCACUUAUAGAUGGAUCCGCGCUGCAUUAGCUAGUUGGUAAGGUAACGGCUUACCAAGGCAACGAUGCAUAGCCGACCUGAGAGGGUGAUCGGCCACACUGGAACUGAGACACGGUCCAGACUCCUACGGGAGGCAGCAGUAGGGAAUCUUCCGCAAUGGGCGAAGGCCUGACGGAGCAACGCCGCGUGAGUGAUGAAGGUCUUCGGAUCGUAAAACUCUGUUAUUAGGGAAGAACAUAUGUGUAAGUAACUGUGCACAUCUUGACGGUACCUAAUCAGAAAGCCACGGCUAACUACGUGCCAGCAGCCGCGGUAAUACGUAGGUGGCAAGCGUUAUCCGGAAUUAUUGGGCGUAAAGCGCGCGUAGGCGGUUUUUUAAGUCUGAUGUGAAAGCCCACGGCUCAACCGUGGAGGGUCAUUGGAAACUGGAAAACUUGAGUGCAGAAGAGGAAAGUGGAAUUCCAUGUGUAGCGGUGAAAUGCGCAGAGAUAUGGAGGAACACCAGUGGCGAAGGCGACUUUCUGGUCUGUAACUGACGCUGAUGUGCGAAAGCGUGGGGAUCAAACAGGAUUAGAUACCCUGGUAGUCCACGCCGUAAACGAUGAGUGCUAAGUGUUAGGGGGUUUCCGCCCCUUAGUGCUGCAGCUAACGCAUUAAGCACUCCGCCUGGGGAGUACGACCGCAAGGUUGAAACUCAAAGGAAUUGACGGGGACCCGCACAAGCGGUGGAGCAUGUGGUUUAAUUCGAAGCAACGCGAAGAACCUUACCAAAUCUUGACAUCCUUUGACAACUCUAGAGAUAGAGCCUUCCCCUUCGGGGGACAAAGUGACAGGUGGUGCAUGGUUGUCGUCAGCUCGUGUCGUGAGAUGUUGGGUUAAGUCCCGCAACGAGCGCAACCCUUAAGCUUAGUUGCCAUCAUUAAGUUGGGCACUCUAAGUUGACUGCCGGUGACAAACCGGAGGAAGGUGGGGAUGACGUCAAAUCAUCAUGCCCCUUAUGAUUUGGGCUACACACGUGCUACAAUGGACAAUACAAAGGGCAGCGAAACCGCGAGGUCAAGCAAAUCCCAUAAAGUUGUUCUCAGUUCGGAUUGUAGUCUGCAACUCGACUACAUGAAGCUGGAAUCGCUAGUAAUCGUAGAUCAGCAUGCUACGGUGAAUACGUUCCCGGGUCU